AUAAAGAUCAGAAGACGUCCUAUGUUGUGAUGGACUACUGUCAGGGAGGGAGCCUUGCUGCAAAGAUCACAAAGAUGAGUGACUCUCCGAAGGAGAUGGAGGUACUGAGCUGGAUUGUUGAAAUCUGUAUGGCUUUGAGAACCAUUCAUGAAAAAGGCUUGCUUCACAAACAUCUGACACCAGAGAACAUACUCCUCACAGAAUUUGGUUUAGUGUGCCUGGACAGAUUUGGAAGAAUCCAUGAAAAUUCAGAAAACACAGCAGCAAAUCUGUUGGAAACAAAAUAUCUGCCACCGGAAGCCUUUGUGAAUGGGACCUAUGAUGCUAAAAGUGACAUUUGGUCAGUUGGUUGCAUACUCUACGAGCUCUGUACUCGACAACUGACAGUAAGUACCACAGUGUUGCAUGUCAUCAA